rnacentral:miRNA from 1 species
UGUGAUCUGGGGGCUCAGCCGAGCAAGGAUAAGCGCUCCUCAUCACCGCUGUCCUUCUCUUUCCCCCAG